AAAAAAAUAUUUUCCCUAAGUGGCAGCCCUGACCAACUUCUAAAUCAUUUUUCGGGAGAAUUUUCAAGAACACCCGAAUUGAUCCUGUCUGUGUGUGACUGGAGCGAGUUACACAUUCUGAUCUUAUCUCCUGGGUCCCGGUGCAGCCUGCUGCCAGCGCCUGGAGGCAGACCAGUCCCCGUGCAGUCGCUGGCAUCUGGAUUAUCUUUAGCAUCUUCUCUUCCUCCAUUUACUCUCGUGAUCAUUGCCGUGUGGUAAUUUAACGCCUAUCUGAUUCUGUGCAAACUUGUAGAUUGCAUACAAACAGAGCCAAUGAAUGAGUUUAUUAGUGUUGGGUAGUUAAGUAAUUGGUUUUUUUUCGUGCUUGGUGGGUUGUUACAGAAAUAUUUAAGUGUUUUGUCAAUAUUUGGGGAAAUUGGUGGUGGAGUUUUUGGAGGAAGCUGGGAGCGAGUGCAUUAUUCCCCCGCUUAAAAUUGUUGUUUAUCCUCAAAUUUUCUAUUGAAUGUUUUUUUUGGAGGAUGGAUUAAGUUUACAUUGUGUGGGAUGCCUGUUUAAAGAGGUACAUACCUAUAUAUGCAACAUAUUGCAUAUACUAUCUACAUACAUGAGUGCAUUAUUUUCCUUGCUUAAAAUUGUUGUUUAUCCU